rnacentral:rRNA from 1 species
AUAUCAGUAGGUGGAGGAAAAGAAACCAAUUGGGAUCCCUUCAGUAGCAGCGAGUGAACAAGGGAGAGCUCGUCCCUGAAUCUGGUAACAACCAGAGUUGUAGGGCGAUAUCUGUCCGGUGUGGUGCUCAUAUAAACCUGCUCGAUUGCUGAGCCACUUGGGUCCAAAGAGGGUGUAAGUCCCGUCUUAGAGACCACCACGCUUGAA